AUUUCAGAUUCCCUCUGCUAUUUUUUGGGGUCAAAACUUAAAACUUUUUCAUCCCUCUCUCUUUUCUCGUGCGGUACCCACACUGCUCCCUCACAAAUUUCACGCUCCCUAAAAAAAUUUCAGACAUUCCCCCAACAAUUUCAGUUUCCCUGACGACCCUACACGCCCUCAAUUGCAAUCGAACUCCGAACUCUAUCGUCUCUCUCUCCUGUCUCCUCCAUUUGGUAUGUUCUCAGUCGCUUUUCUUCCCCAUCUCCUCUUGUUUUCUAUCUUCACUGCUCUCUCCAUCUCCAAUCCCUCCUCUCACAACUCUGGGUAUCAUGGGGCUCUCUCUCUCUUUCUGACAACUCUCUCUCAGAUUCUACCAUAGUAACGUUAGGGUUUCAGUUUUCAAAAAAUUUCAUUUGUAUUAAUCCAAAACUCUUCAUCUCCUUCUCCUUAGUUCAACACAUUUUCUCCUCCCAGAUCUCGCCCAAUGGCAGUCAGGAAGUUGGGGAAAAAACUAAAGUUGAAAGAAAGUUGGAACUUUGUUCCUUACACCUGUGCUGUAUUUGUCAGAUUUGGUGGUGAUUUCUGUGUCUUGGAACUUUCUAUUUGUUGCUGAUUUUUGUGUUGGGGGUUUUAGUUUUUGCUAUUUUGGCUUUUUUUUUUUUUUUCUCCUUUAAAGGGCUUAAACUCUGAUGAUCUGCCAAAAGAACAAAAAUUUAUCUUUGUUGCUGAUUUUUUUUUUUUUUUUUUGGGCUUUCAGUUUUGGCUUUUAUUUUUUAUUUUAUAUAUUUUUUUAUCCUUUUCUGCAAAGGGCUUAAACUCUGAUUAUUUGCCAAAUGAACAUAAAAAAGGGGAUUGGUUAUGCAGCAUAGUCCAAGGGGAUUGGUUAUGCAGCAUAUUCCAAGGGAUUUGGUUUCUCAAUUUAGUUUAUAAUUAUCAAAUUGUACGUCAUGCGUUCUUUAUACAUCACUGUUACUAAUCAUAGUACAUACUCUGUAGAUCGAAUGCUUUCCAAAAAAAGAAAAAGAAGUUUUACAUGUAGAGGAGAACGUCAGAUAUCAUGGCUCUAAUUUAUGGCUUCCAGUUGUGGUAGUAUGCAAGGGAGGCCAAAGAGGAAAUCGUUUUGAUGAACUCAACUAAUUGAGGCGAUUUUUGGUUUUUCAAUUUCUAUUUGGAGAGCAUAUGCAGAUAAGGCUCUCUAGUCAUAAAUUUCAAGUUGAUGUGAUUCAAUAGCUCUGUACUUAAAGAGAAUCUUGAAGGACAUGUUAGAAGAUGCCCAUUACUCAAACAAGUGCAGUCUUUGACUUUCCAACCCUUUUACCAAAAGAGUAUCAAUGCUGGCAAAGAAGAGGACCAGUAAGAAUUAGAAACAUUCAGACCCAAAGGAGCUGAUGAUUUGGAAUCAUCUAAUGACCCCGAAUCAGGAUCUUUGGAUAACAUUCUUUCAGAAAUGAAGAGGAAUGUUGUUUAUAGUAACAAAUUGGUUUCUAUAAAUUAAUUGAGAAAAUUGAGCAUGUUCAUGAAUCUGUAUGCAAGGAUAUUCAGGACUCAUAUAAGGUAUUGGAAGCUUGUGGGAUAUGGAUUAAACGAGAGGUUGACAGGUAUAUAUGCGCUGGAAUGUUCGUUUCAUUCUUGAUGUGGUGCUACACGUAGAGCUCGCUCUCACGAGUUCGUAGACACGUAGUGGGCCCAUAAUAAUGUAAUUUUAAAAAUGUAAUUUUAAUAAGAUUUUUUUUA